CAAUAACCUCAACAUUAAUUAAGUUUUCUUGGAACAAAAAGAUGAAUUGUUCAGAUAUUAAGACAAAUUGGAUUUUCAUCCUCUCUGAAUUUUGGGCUAUUUCAUUAAAAACUGGUGGAUAAAGGUAGAGAAGGAAAGAAGAGGCAACGCUGAUGUUGAAAAGAAGUGGGUGGAAAACUGGGCUACAUUUGCAAUCUCACGGGGAAAUUGAGAGAGGAACAGGGAGAGAUAAGCAUACACAAACCCCAGCAUUAGAGAAAUGCGGUGUAAAAAAAGAAAGAGUCUGCCCUUUUUUAAGGUAAGGAAGAGAGGGCAGAGAAUAAGGAGCAGUGCUCAUUUUUGAGUCAGCAGUCGCAGUACUCUUUGAAAAACAGGACACGCACCUGGUAGGGAAGAAAAAAAGUGUGCUUUUGGAAACCACAGUGAGCCCAGACCACAUAUUUUGCUCUAAAGAGAACAGAAGGCCAAAUGCUGCCUCUCAACUGGCUUUUUUCUGCAUGAGCCUUUCCUUUUUAACCUCCUGAUCUUUAGUGCUGGAGGUAUCACUGCCUCUGAAAUUUCCCCAUGAGCACUUUUAACAUCUAACCUGUAUGUGAUAUCGCACCAUCUGGAUUCUUUGUUUUCAUCCUCAUCCCACCUAUUGGUAGCCAUCCUUAUUUUAUUUCUUCCUUAAGUGUGCUACUUCGAGAAGCUAAUUAUGGGUGCAACGACCCCCAAGGCUGUUAAAAGUACCUUGUCACCAGCUCGGUUUGCUAUGGCGUAUAUGAGGUCAAGUGCAAUUAAGACUAGCAAGUCGAACCUCUCUUUCCUUCCCUCUAAUUCUCGCUCUUUUUCUCGCCGACAGGCUCUGACAGUUUCUCCUCUGUGGGUGAGAAAGUGAGAGAUCAUGACACAGACCAUCAAUAACAGAUGGAGGGACCACAAGUAGGGGGGAUUUUACAGUGGCACAUUUCAUCUAAUUAAUUCUUGUCAAGUCACUCAAAGUCAAUACCUCUGAAAGAUAGGAAAUCUUUAC
rnacentral:lncRNA from 1 species